rnacentral:rRNA from 1 species
UACGAAGGGGGCUAGCGUUGCUCGGAAUCACUGGGCGUAAAGGGCGCGUAGGCGGCCGGCCAAGUCGGUGGUGAAAGCCUGUGGCUCAACCACAGAAUGGCCCUCGAUACUGGACGGCUCGAGACCGGAAGAGGUUGGUGGAAUUGCGAGUGUAGAGGUGAAAUUCGUAGAUAUUCGCAAGAACACCGGUGGCGAAGGCGGCCAACUGGUCCGGAUCUGACGCUGAGGCGCGAAAGCGUGGGGAGCGAACAGG